AGUGAACGCUGGCGGCGUGCCUAAUACAUGCAAGUCGAACGGAGUGGCGCACGGGUGAGGAAUAUGUAGCUAAUCUGCCCCUUGCUGGAGGGCAACGGUUAGAAAUGUAUGAUAACACUCCAUAGCAAAGGAUGAGACUAUAUCGUAUCAGCUAGUCGGUGGGGUAACGGCCUACCGAGGCUAUGAUGCGUAACUGGGCUGAGAGGAUGAUCAGUCACAUUGGAACUGAGACACGGUUCAGACUUCUACGGGAGGGAGCAGUAGGGAAUAUCGCGCAAUGGGCGAAACCCUGACGCAGCUACGGCGCGUGGAGGAUGACACUUUUCGGAGCGUAAACUCCUUUUGUUAGGGAAGCGGUACCUAACGAAUAAGCACCGGCUAACUCCGUGCCAGCAGCCGCGGUAAUUC
rnacentral:rRNA from 1 species